rnacentral:lncRNA from 7 species
GAAGAGAAUGUUGCAUGCACAGCCUAAGGUUUCAUUCCCAUGCGAUUGUUCUACAUGACUGAAUGGUUCUACUGACUUUUUUUUAAUGUUAAAGUGCAGGAGUAAUUUUUUUUAACCAGCAAAAAGGCUAAGUGAUUUGAUCAGGGCCACAGAUCAGCAUGAUAGAGACAGGACUAUUAUAAUGUUCUAGUAAGCCAGUCAGAUUGAAAGCUUAAACUCUGGAAACAGGAGUCACCUUUUAUCAUGUGUUUGAACUAUGCUCAGCAUAACAGAACUCAAUCCUUUCUGAGGUUUCUGAGUACUGGUUUAAUACAGAUAGUAAAUGUCAAGUAGACCGAUGUGCAUGGGGCUUUACAUAGCCUUUUUACUCUUGGGAUCAUAAAAACUUAAAACCUUCAACAGAAUAAGGAAGGUAAAGUGUGCAAGCCAGAACAAGAAGUUACUCAACAACAUGACAGAAGUUUGUGGCUGAGCCUGGCCACUUUGCAAUUGAACUUAGCUUCUGCUACAUCUUUGGGAGACCCUACCUGGUACAAGUUCCAUCACUUCCCUGGAAUUUGCUGUGCACUUUGCUGUUAACUCAGGUGAUUGCCACCAGUGGCUAAUGUGACUGAUUCAGAAUCACACAACAGUGCCUCAGGCCGGUCCCACUCCUCUGCACUACUGCAUAUUGAUGCUGGCUUUGCACUGCCUGGUCAUGCAUGACCAAUGGCUUUGUGGGGGAGCAUCUCAAGGAUCUGAUGCCAUUUUCAAAGAUUGUGUAUAUCUGCAGCAUCUCUGAUUUCUGUUUUGAAAGAUUCUGACUUCAUCCCAGUACAGAAGAAAGUGGGGGAAAGUAUGUAACCUUAACAAAUUUGGAUAAAUAUUUUCCUAAUCAUAUUCACUCUGAAGCUUCUUGUGCAGUUAAAUUCCAGUCUGACUUCCUUCAAAGUCGGCACUUGCUCACUGACAGCAACCAGUGGAGACCACUACACUGCAAAGCUGUACCAAGCAGCAGUCCUACAUCCAUAAAUGAUAUAUGAAAUGCUACUAGCUUGACAAUAAAGAAGUAUGGCUGUACUCAGUUCAUCUCUGUUACAGGAUAUCUCACUGCUCAGAAAGGUGACAAAAGUUAUGUAUGUAUAAAAUGUACACAAAUAGAACUAAAACCAAGAUUAUCAUUUAUUUCAGCCUGAAAAGAUCAAGCCUGGAACACUGCUUUUUUCCCCAAAAACCUUGAGUUCACAGCUCUCACACUGAAACCUCUGUACCAUGAGCUCCAGUUCUGCUCUGCAGAAGGGGUUUGUUUCAUCCAUCAGUCUGCAAAUAAACUGAGAUGUGAUAGGCAGUGCAUCAACAGAGAGACCUGUGACAGGGGAACAUGGAAAGAAAAGGACACAAAGGAGCUAACAAUUGUCAGGAAGUGGCGCAAGAAUGAGAAACCUGUCUGACAUGCCUCCGCUCCAAGUAGUUCAGCACUCCUCUUCCCUGCCUUUUUACACUCCCAGGCCAUCUUGAGUUCAAGAGCAGAGGUGCCAUGUGCUUGUAGCUCCCACUAAAACUUCAGCUUAACUAACAGCUCCCAAAAGCACAUUGAGGAGCAACCGGAGAUGAAGACAGGAAAAAAUAAGAAAACCUUUCUUGAAAGCCACAGCCUGAAAGUACUUUUUAACGCUGUUUCACUCGUAGUCCGGGGGACACCAUCUCAGACAGAAAAACAAAAAUACAUGGAAAGAUGCAUGGUUUGAAUCAAAAGUAUCCUUUGUUGUCUGAUGCCUAUUUGCUAUCUUUUUCACAUAAGAUGGAAAACAGUAGGACUAUAUUUUUGACAGCUUUCUGGUUC